CCCGGGGCUCAACCCCGGGCGUGCAGUGGAUACGGGCAGGCUGGAGGCAGGCAGGGGAGAACGGAAUUCCCGGUGUAGCGGUGAAAUGCGCAGAUAUCGGGAGGAACACCGGUGGCGAAGGCGGUUCUCUGGGCCUGUCCUGACGCUGAGGAGCGAAAGCGUGGGGAGCGAACAGGAUUAGAUACCCUGGUAGUCCACGCCGUAAACGUUGGGCGCUAGGUGUGGGCCUCUUCCACGGGGCCUGUGCCGCAGCUAACGCAUUAAGCGCCCCGCCUGGGGAGUACGGCCGCAAGGCUAAAACUCAAAGGAAUUGACGG
rnacentral:rRNA from 1 species